ACAGAAAGAAGUCGACAAACCAAUAAUCCGAUUUGUAGAUUUCCCACUUCUGAGGGGCUCCAGAUCUCUCGAGUCAAUCCCACCACACCAGUAUAAAUUGCCCUCUCCUUGCAUUUCUAUCUCCGCGGAAGCAGAGUAAUGGAGGAGAAGGGAGAGCUGUCUUGAGAACUCUUUCUUUAACGGUGGCUUACAUGGGCUUGUGAUGUAUUCCAUCUCUUGCACACUGGACCAGCGCUCCAGCUGCAGUUUGGUGUGCACGGGAUGGAAUACAUCAUGGAUUCAUGAUGUGGAAUAGCAUGAUGAUGCUUGUUUUUCAGGCUUGCCUACUGAGAUGAGAUGGUACAAUCUGCAUAACGUAAGUAACUCUCCUUCUACCAAAAUUUCUUGGCGAGCCAUCAUCCGGAUCCAUUCAGGAGAUUUUGAGAUCACCCUCUGGUAGCCCACAUGUGGUCAAGUACAUCCCACCAGCCAAGCGAUCGUAGGCGCCUGCGGUAUGGCUUUCGCCGUUUACCCAUCAUUUCGUACAAAUACGAUACGGAUUUUUUUUGUCUGCAUUAAAGACCACGAAAGGAUUGAAUGAUCAAUGAUCUCCACGAUAUUUUUAUCUUACCCUCGUAUCAAUAGCAGAGUAUGAGGGGGGUUAGAACAGCGAAACUCAGACGAUGCGUUUUCACAUAGAAGCCAUAGCCGUGAAAAUUAGAAGCAACGGGUUUCCACCAGUGAGAUUCCACACCUUAAGUUUGUGAACCCGAAAUCAUGAUGGGGAAAGUGAAAACAAAGAAAAAUUUUCUGGGAAUUGUUUUCCAUCGAAACUAACAGAGACUUGCAUCGCCUUUUUCCUCCGAUUCCAAAAGUGCCCCAAAGCAAAUACACCAGAGUGUUCCUCAAAAAAAAAAAAAAAAAAAAAAAAAAGCAAAAAAAGAAUAUUCAAGCUUGUAGAUUUCAACUUUUGAUAUUCAACAAAUGUUAUAUUCGGCCUUUGUCAUCAUCAUGUGCAGAGAAUAAUAUUAAAGGUCAAAAUUUUAAAUAUUUUUUAUUUAUUUUCAAUUGAAAAAACAAAAGAAAUGGGGAAAGGAAAAAAGUGAAUUUUUUU